rnacentral:rRNA from 1 species
CUACACAGCAGUCGAGCGGAUGACGGGAGCUUGCUCCUUGAUUCAGCGGCGGACGGGUGAGUAAUGCCUAGGAAUCUGCCUGGUAGUGGGGGACAACGUUUCGAAAGGAACGCUAAUACCGCAUACGUCCUACGGGAGAAAGCAGGGGACCUUCGGGCCUUGCGCUAUCAGAUGAGCCUAGGUCGGAUUAGCUAGUUGGUGGGGUAAUGGCUCACCAAGGCGACGAUCCGUAACUGGUCUGAGAGGAUGAUCAGUCACACUGGAACUGAGACACGGUCCAGACUCCUACGGGAGGCAGCAGUGGGGAAUAUUGGACAAUGGGCGAAAGCCUGAUCCAGCCAUGCCGCGUGUGUGAAGAAGGUCUUCGGAUUGUAAGCACUUUAAGUUGGAGGAAGGGCAGUAAGCUAUACCUUGCUGUUUGACGUACGACAGAUAGCACCGCUACUCUGUGCAGCAGCGCGUAUACAGAGGUGCAGCGUAUCGAUACUGGCGUAGCGCGCGUAGUGUUGUAGUGAUGUGAAGCCGGCUCACUGGACUGCAUCAACUGCAGCUAGA